CCUACGGGAGGCUGCAGUGGGGAAUAUUGGACAAUGGGCGAAAGCCUGAUCCAGCCAUGCCGCGUGUGUGAAGAAGGCCUUCGGGUUGUAAAGCACUUUCAGUGGGGAAGAAAGCCUUGGGGCUAAUACCCUCGAGGAAGGACAUCACCCACAGAAGAAGCACCGGCUAACUCCGUGCCAGCAGCCGCGGUAAUACGGAGGGUGCGAGCGUUAAUCGGAAUUACUGGGCGUAAAGCGCGCGUAGGCGGUCUGAUAAGCCGGUUGUGAAAGCCCCGGGCUCAACCUGGGAACGGCAUCCGGAACUGUCGGGCUAAAGUGCCGGAGAGGAAGGUAGAAUUCCCGGGGUAGAGGUGAAAUGCGUAGAGAUCGGGAGGAAUACCAGUGGCGAAGGCGGCCUUCUGGACUGACACUGACGCUGAGGUGCGAAAGCGUGGGUAGCAAACAGGAUUAGAGACCCUGGUAGUC
rnacentral:rRNA from 1 species